ensembl:lncRNA
CUCUCUCUCUCUCUCUCUCUCUCUCUCUCUCUCUCUCUCUCUCUCUCUCGUGUGUGUGUGUGUGAUGCAGACAGAGGUGGGUCUAGGUGGAUUAGCUGUCCACUCUUUCUGUGCUCCCCGAAUUCCAUUCCGCCUUUUACUUUUCCUGCAUCGCUCCCUCCACUCAGGACUUCCCAGUGACUUUUCCCAGGCUGCCUUCAGCUCCACUCUGAAUUCCGACUUCCAAGGAGGAGGAAGGAGCGCGUUCGGGGAUCUCUGAGGAGCGACUUUUGCUGCUUUCGCCCCCUCCUUUGAGAAAACAAGCGCGGAGAGGUGGAAAGGCUUUUUACCUGUUGAUGAGGGUCGCUGAGGAGCCGCAGGUUUCUCCACACUCUGGUGAAGUGUGAAUAAGUAAUAAUAAGAGAGAGAGAGAAAGAGAGAGAGAGAGAAGGUGACUGGUUCCGGUGGACCAGCGGAGGAGUGACGGACCGAACACGGGUUUUCUUUUCCCCCAGCAGAAGCAGCCUGUGCUGGGUUGUAGGUGGAACAUGGGCACUCUGAACUUCUGGAGCGUUGGACUCCUUUUGAUCCUCACGUGCCAGCUGGUUUCUGUGUCUCAGGCCUCCAAGGCGUGGGGAGAGGUCCCGCUUCCAGAAGAUUUGGAAUCAGAAAAAGAUGUCCGGGCAUCUCGGAGUUUACUGGACGAUGAUGAGGACUUCGCAGCUGACGAAGCUUCAGGAGGUGGGCUAGCUAAGAAGGAUUGGUAACCACAAACCACAGUAACAGCUGCCCUUAAUUCAUGGGAGUCAUGCUUCUUAUUAUGCAUUCCUUAGUUUGUAAACCCAACCCAAAAGAUGAAAAUGAGAAGAGAUUGCCUAAUCCCAAUAAAACAUCUCAGAGGAGUGUAGCUCUCCUGUGCAUUGGUGCAGCACUUAUUAAAAGGGCAAAAUGCUUUUUUCCUGGCCUUAAAUCUAAAUGUUGACCUCAUCUUUACUCUUGUGUCUCGUCCUCCAAAGACCUGCCGAGUGGGGAGGAAGAUGGCAGCACUCCAGAUCCCGACAGCACAAGUGAGAGAGCAGAAAAUCUACAGCAUCUAACCGUCGUCUGUGACAGAAUUUCUUUACGUGUGGUAGAUCGCUCAGCCCGCCAAAGCUCUACCAUCUGUAAUUCAGACAUAUUCACGCAGCGUGUGUCAGACUUACACACACACACACACACACACACACACACACACACACACACACACACACACACACACACACACACACUGGAGUUUUGAGCGAUGACCUUCUCAUCCUGCUGAAGCCUCUCCUCCCUCGAUGCCAAUUUGCCAGAGUCUGGUCAUAACACGGGGCUCAGGCGCUGAGACAUAACCCCCCCCCCCCCCCCUUUAAUCUUUUCAACCACUGGCCGAGGUGACAGCAAAGUAAGACACAUAAAAGCCUGAAGAACAAUAAAAGUGGCUUCAGAGCCUCUCUGCUAGCCAGUUCAAUGCUGUGAUUCCUGACCCCCACCAUGCUUGGCAUAAACACAUUUGUCUGUAAGUACAGAUCACACACAGUGGCACAAGGAACACGGUUUAGUCAUUUAAAGUAAGCUUAUCACCCACGCUUCACUGCUGCAUGGUAUUUAUUGGUUUGAGGCGUUUUCUGCACUUCUCUAACUGAUUGUUGUCGAUUAUCAUUUUUCUAAUUAGUUAUUCUUUGCAUGCUUGAUUUUAUUAUAUUUUUGUAUUUAGAGGUCAGCGUCAAAUGUCACCUACUGAUGAAACUUUCACAUAAUAUGACAACACAUUCGACCUCUUGGUUAUGCUGUUUGUGCUUGAAUAUUUCAGACCUCAAACAAAAUUUAACAUCAGAUAAAGAUGACUUGAGUAAAUACAUGAUGCACUUUUCAAAUGAUAAUUUAGUUUAUUAAAGGUCUCAUUCACUUGUUUUUUCAAUAGUCUGUGGUAUGAAUGAAUGUCUUGUGAAUCAUUUCGUGUGGGGGAAAAAGCUCUGGCAGUCCUGUUUCAGGGGUAAAAUUAGGAAUGGGUAGGCAGAAAGCAACAGGAUUAAGAGUCUUACUCAUUUAUAUUCAAACGUUAAGACCAUUUUCACGUUCAGUUCGCAUAUGCAACUGAGAGUGGCUGAUCGCAUUUAAAAAAGAACAAUUAAAGCCCUACUAUGCAACUUUUUUCAUAUUUUUACAUCAUUUUA